rnacentral:lncRNA from 1 species
GGGUCAAACCCAACUGAAUCCAAUUCAAUUGGACUUGAUCCAAAAAUAAUUACUCAAUCAAAUUGAGUUAAUUAGCGAUCAAAUCACUAAUUAAACCUCUCAUAAAUAUUGAGUCCAAAUCUGAUGGGUAAUCGGGCAUCAGAACUCAUCGAUAUGUAACCCUGAUCGAAGAGUCCCAAACCAGUGGGACUCUUGACCCUGGUACCCAAAAUGUGUGGGACUCAUGAUCAGAGAAUCCUGAUUCUCGAUCAUAGAGUCCUAGACAUGUAGGACUCAUAGUCCAUGAGCAUUAAGAUUCUUCAUCAGCCAUCAGAUCAGAUAGGAACCUCUAAUGUGUGUGACCCCAUAGGUUCGAACCUAAGCCGGUAGCACAGGAACCAAUUUCUGUACUAAUCGAAGUGACCAUCUAGCAAUGGUA